rnacentral:lncRNA from 1 species
GUAGGCGAUGAAGUAGAGGUUGUGCAUGAUGAUACGUCAGCUUGUGUUGCUGUAGCUGAUAGUUCUACCAUAGGCAUACAUGAUAAUGUUAUAUCUUUAUCUGGUUUAGACCUUUCUGAUUAUGAGUUCAUCAGUUGUACAGAAGAUGGCUUUGUCCCUGCUAUUCUAAAGCUGGUUGAAAAUCAGCUAAACCAUGUCAUGUGCGUUAAUGGAUAAAAAUCU